UACGUAGGGUGCGAGCGUUGUCCGGAAUUACUGGGCGUAAAGAGCUCGUAGGUGGUUUGUCGCGUUGUCCGUGAAAACUCACAACUCAAUUGUGGGCGUGCGGGCGAUACGGGCAGACUGGAGUACUGCAGGGGAGACUGGAAUUCCUGGUGUAGCGGUGGAAUGCGCAGAUAUCAGGAGGAACACCGGUGGCGAAGGCGGGUCUCUGGGCAGUAACUGACGCUGAGACGCGAAAGCAUGGGGAGCGAACAGG
rnacentral:rRNA from 1 species